CAGGAAGUCAGACACGAACAAAGUCUACACGCACCCAGUUGACCGCCAAUGUGCGGGACAAGCGAUGGCAUAGAUACCCAUCUCCAUGGGAAAACCGCCGGCAUCGCACCGAGUGUCAUAUAUACUCACCAAAAUCGUGUUUGAAGCGUGUGGACAAGUAGCUCUCACGGGACAGAGGAUGGUAUUUUGGAGUUAUUCAUGGUGAAUCAAAGGUGCAAAAGCAAAGCGGAAUCUCUGAGAGAUACUUGUUUGAGACCUUUUUGAACUCGAGGGAGUCUCUUUCUUACGCUGGGCUUGGGAAUGUCAACGCGAAGCUCCCUAUGUUUGUUUCGAGUGUGCUUCUCCAACGCAUCCGAAAAUUCUGUGAUCACCUUGCCAAGAUAUGCUGUUUGAGGAGGCAAUUGUUGUAGAUGUUCUGUCCAUCAGUCCACAUAAUUUGUCUCUAUAUCUACGUAG
rnacentral:sRNA from 2 species